GCAUCUGCAGAUUGCACGUUUCUUUGGGGGGAGCCAUGGCGGCCUCAAACUUGAACAAGGUUCUCCCACCAUAUUUAACAUAGCACUGGAAUUGUUGGAACAAGCAGGCAUUCUCACGUGGCUGUGAUGUUCUGAAAUGACAGUGUCCUCUGAACCUGUUUGUGGAGUUAAAGGAGGACUAGAAGCUUCACUGGGCACUGUUCUGCACGAUAUCAACAUCAACAAAAACAACAAACCUGCUGUUUUUACCGAUUAUUUCCGAACUAGCUAUUCCAGGCCACACACUCACAAACCAAGUUCUCCUUUGAUGACCCCUAUGUUGAAACAAAAGGUGGCGGUGAGUUAUGCAGCACCAGCCCUCAGGAACUGCCCAAGGGCCCUCAUUGCAACAAUCUGAUAACCACAGAAAGUACAGAGCAGUACCUCCCGGC
rnacentral:lncRNA from 1 species